AUAAAAAAACAAAAAUUAAAAAAAAAACAGCAGCAGUUAAUAAAAAUGAGUUGGCACCUAAUGAGAACUUUAGCUGUACCAUCAAAGGCUAAUUCAUAGACAGCACACUUACGUGUUUUUGUGUGCUCCUUUUUAUAAACAUUGCCUGAUUUUCUUUGAUCCUUUGGUUUUCUUUGAUCCCUCUUAUGUCUUUUAACCUCCAUCACUAAUCCUAAAUGCAGUCUUGGGCUCAUUAACUUUGGUUUCUUAGAGUAUUCUCACAGCUUUGCUCAGGCUUAACAUAUUCUGUCAGUAUUUAGAUUUGGGGAUUAUUCUGGCUCAUUCUAGCCAGGAACAUCCAACUGUUCUUGGUCCAUAAGUUACUUAAUAAAGUAACUUAAGUGAUUUAUUAAGUGAUUAUUUUCCACAGUUAAUUACCAAGGAGGUUCUCCAUUAUUACCAUCUUCUUGGAAAUUUCUCAUUUUAAGUGAGCCCUUGAGGGCUUCAAACCAAAACAAUAUUAAUACAAACGAUGGGAUUUCCUUUUUUUAAAUUAGGUUACAAGACUCUGGCUUUUGAUUGCCUCAAAAAAAGCAGCUCACAUUAUGAAGGCAGCUAAGGGAGAAAUUGAUAUAAGAGAAAGCCAAAGCCCAAGAGAACUUAAAACUAGACUCUGUAGAAAAAGUCCGGCUUUGAUAGAAGAUAUUCAAGAAAAACUGUUGAACAUCACUGGCUAUUAGGAAACUAUAAACAAACUGACAGUGAAGCAAGAAACAAUGAUACCAGGAAGAGGGGAGAAGGAAGGUAAAUAUGAUCAGAGUAUAAGAUAUACACAAAAAUGCCACAGUAAAACCAAAGACUUUGUACAAUUAAUACAUGCUUUAAAAAAAAAAGAUAACUAAGAGAUGGGUUUGGUGGGGCACACAUGUAAUACCAGCACAAAGGAGACUGAGGCAGGACAAUUAAUAGAGGCCUGCCUGAGGUACAUACAGAUACUCUAUCUCAAGAAAACAAAAACACAAAGAUUGACAGUGAGAUUACUGCAACACAUAAAAGAAGAGCUAAAAUUAUGAUAGUUUCAAUCUGAAAUGUUUGUAACAAUGAAAAACUGAAUCUCUCAUUCAUACAUUUUUGACAGACAUAGCAACUCUACAAAAGUAGUUUGGCAUGUUUUAUUUAAAAAACAAGAACAAAAAACCUAAGCAUAUACUAAUUAUACAACCAGCAAUUAUACAUCUAAUUGCAUAUCCCUCAGAAAUUUGGUAUGUCUAUGCAGAAACAUGUACCCAACUAGUCUUAGCAAUUUUUAAAUAGCACAAAACUGUAAUCAGUCUAAAUAAUCUACAGUAUUCCUUAUACAAGCACAUGACAGAGAACUAUUUAAUAACAAUAAACUAUACAACAGUAACUAGGGUAGAGUGCAAGGACAUUAUAUUAAAUGAAAACAUAACACUCUUCAGUUGGUAGAGCAUGUGCCUAGCAUUAGUGAUGAUACUAACACCUACAUUAUCACUUGUAGACAUUAGUGUUACUGUUAUGAAAAAUCAGGACAGAAUAGGCAAUCACAACCCAAAAAUAGGAAAACAAACCCAAACAUUAAAAAGAACUAAUUAAGGAUGUGUUUUUCUUCUUCUACAAAAGAAACAAACAACAGAAGUGUGGAAAAAGAAACCAUCAGAUCUAGCAAUUUCAAUCAUCUUAUAUAUUAAUUCUUUAAAAACUUCAAUAUAUGUACUUAAGCUAGAUUUUUUAAGUUUGCUUUUCAAAUUACAUUUAUUAUAGGCAAUAACAACAUUUUCUUUUAAAAAGCUAUGAAACAUCUACUAUAAACUGUUACAUUGCUUGGACAAAUGAUAUUGUUCAAGGUCUCUUAACCAUAUUUUGUCAGAUGAAUCUACAUUAAUAAUCAUUUAACAACUCCAUUAAAUAUGUAACAACUUAGAACAAGAAAAAAGUGUAUUUGCACA